AGAGUUUGAUCCUGGCUCAGGAUGAACGCUAGCUACAGGCUUAACACAUGCAAGUCGAGGGGCAUCAGUUUGGUUUGCUUGCAAACCAAAGCUGGCGACCGGCGCACGGGUGAGUAACACGUAUCCAACCUGCCUCAUACUCGGGGAUAGCCUUUCGAAAGAAAGAUUAAUAUCCGAUAGCAUAUAUUUCCCGCAUGGGUUUUAUAUUAAAGAAAUUCGGUAUGAGAUGUGGAUGCGUUCAUUAGUUGUGGCGGGUAACGCCACGAAGACUACGAUGGAUAGGGGUUCUGAGAGGAAGGUCCCCCANAUUGGAACUGAGACACGGUCCAAACUCCUACGGGAGCA
rnacentral:rRNA from 1 species